UACGACGUAUCAGAGUUUGAUCCUGGCUCAGGAUGAACGCUAGCGGCAGGCUUAACACAUGCAAGUCAGGGGCAGCAUAAACAUUGCUUGCAAUGUUUGAUGGCGACCGGCGCACGGGUGCGUAACGCGUAUGUAACCUACCUCAAACAGGGGCAUAACACUGAGAAAUUGGUACUAAUUCCCCAUAACACCCAUAAAGGCAUCUUUUUUGAGUUGAAAGUUCCGGCGGUUUGAGAUGGACAUGCGUUGUAUUAGCUAGUUGGUGAGGUAACGGCUCACCAAGGCGACGAUACAUAGGGGGACUGAGAGGUUAACCCCCCACAUUGGUACUGAGACACGGACCAA
rnacentral:rRNA from 1 species